AGCAUAUGGAAGUUCCCAGGCUAGGGGUCAAAAUGGAGCUAUAGCUGCUGGUGUACACCACAGCCACAAGCAAUGCUGGAUCCUUACCCACUGAGCCAGGCCAGGGAUCCAACCUAAGUUCAGGGAUCCUAGUCGGGUUCGUUAACCUCUGAGCCACGAAGGGAACUCUGAAAACAAAGGAUUCUUAACCUUCGUCGUCACGAGGGAACUCCUGCUCCUUUUUACUUUUUCAAAAUGUGGCUGCUAGAAAAUUUAAAAUUACUUAGGUAGCUUUCUCAUUAUGUUUCUAUUGGACGGCACUGGGCUAGACAAUUGGGAACCCAGGGGAAGGAUGAGUAAAUUCUAGGAUGAAGGUUCACUAAUGUCUGUGGUACAAGGAUGUGCUUUACAAGGAGGGCAAGAAGGUAGCAGAUAAGAUGAACGCAAGGAUUUAGGAUUUGAUGGAAUAUGCUUUGUUUAAAAAGGCAUGGGAAAAACCUAGGUGGGAGGGGGAUUGGUGUAUAUUAGGAUUUAAUCUGGGAGGGGCUUUCUUUGUGGAUGAAGUGAGAACCUUCUAGAGAUAGUAUUUUCUCUACUGUAAUAGGAUAAGUUGGCAGGGAGCCCAGCACAAUGUUCCUUAAUUGUUGGGAGAUCAAAUGAUUAUUACUUGUGUGAAAGAGCUUUCUGAUCUGAGGUGAGAGGUGCAGGUGAGACAUAGGUGAGGUUAAUCGCAAGAUUUUUUUUUCAUUGCGAUUUUGGUAUUGCUUCCCAUGUCUUCUGGCUUCUGCAGAGAAGCUGUAGCUUUGGGGCUAUUUCUAUCAGUGCCAAUAUAAAAUUUUAUUUAUAUAAAAUGGUGAGGAGGGUUAUUUGUUAUGACUAUCUGAUGUCUCAACUAUAGAAACCCACAGUCACCAAUCUAAGAAUGUGUUCUGGGGAGUUCCUGCUGUGGCUCAGCCGUAAUGAACUCGACUAGGAUCCAUGGGGAUUUGGGUUUGAUCCCUGGCCUUGCUUGGUGGGUUAAGGAUUUGGCAAUGCCAUGAGCUGUGGUGUAGGCCAAAGCUGCAGCUCUGAUUCAACUCCUAGCCUGGGAACUUCCAUAUGCCACGGGUGUGGCCCUAAAAAACAAAAAAACAAAAAAAACAAAAAAAACCCAAACAACAACAACAACAACAAAAAUGUAGUUUUGGGCCCAAGGACAAAAGUUUGGGAGAAAGUGGCAAGACAGCAGUUGGAGACAAAUUACACUGUUCAAUGUAGUCUAACACUCAGAGAAGCCACUGUGAGGUUCAUGACCCAGAACUGCUGAGGGCUGAUCUUGUAGCUUCUCCAGAAGUUGAGCCACAUUGAACAUCUGGGCCUGGCCCCUCCACACAGUUUAGGAAAUAAUCUAGCUCUUUGGGUUUGCACCAAUUUAAGAAUGGUCAUCAAGGAGCUCCCAUUGUGGCUCAGUGGCAAUGAAACCAACUAGUAUCCAUGAGGAUUCAGGUUUGAUCCCUGACCUCACUCAGUGGGUCAGCAACUUGGCAUUAGUGGCUGUGGCAUAGGCCAGCAUCUGUAGCUCCGAUUUGAUACCUAGCCUUGGAACUUCCAUAUGCCAUGAGUGCAGCCCUAAAAAGUCCAAAAAAAAAAAAAAAAAGGCCAUCAAUGUGAAUGAAUAAAUAAGAUGUGGUACAUAUACAAAAUGGAGUAUUACUCAGCCAUAAAAAGAAUGAAAUAAUACCAUUUGCAGCAACAUGGAUGGACCUAGAGAUUAUCAUACUAAGUGAAGUAAGCCAAAGAUAAAUAUCAUAUCGCUUAUAUAUAGAAUCUAAAAAAAAAGAUACAAAUUAACUUAUGUACAAAACAGAAAUAGACCCACAGUCACAGAAAACAAAUUUAUAGUUACCAAAGGGGAAAGGGGGGAGUGAGGGAUAAAUUAGAAGUAUGAGAUUAACAGAUAUACAUUAUUGUAUAUAAAAUAGAUAACCAACAAGGACCUACUACAUAACACAGGGGACUAUACUCAAUAUUUUAUAAUAACCCAUCAGGGAAAAUAAUUUGAAAAAGAGUGUAUAAAUGUAUGUGUGUAUAUAUAUAUAUAUGUACAUAUGUGUAUAUAUAUAUAUAUAUGUAUAUGUAUAUAUAUAUCACUUUGCUGUACACCUGAAACUAAUACAACAUUGUAAAUCAACUAUACUUCAAUAAAAAAACAGAAUAAAAAUAAAUAAAAUUAGCAGAAUAAUAAUAAAAAAAGGAAUGGCCAUCACUGGGGCUAGACACCAGGUCCUGCCUGGUUAGAGUGCUGUAUGCCUCUCCAGAAGUAAAAUUUCACCUGAGUUGGGCUGAAACUGACUCUGACCCAUGGAAUAUAUGGGGGAAACCCAAGUUCUCUGGAGAAAAACAUAUAUACCUAGAAUACAAACUCAGUAUUCUACAAAACAAUGCAAGGACAUUCUCUGCUCAAAUAAAAUCAGAAGCAUAGUAGAACUGCUAAAAAUUUGUACCAAAUAAGAUUUUUUUUUUAGGGCCAUGCAUGAGGCAUAUGGAAAUUCCCAGGCUAGGGGUCACAUCAGAGCUACAGCUCCUGGCCUACACCACAGCCACAACAAUGUGGGAUCCAAGCGAAGUCUACAACCUACACCAUGGCUCACAGUAAUGCCUGAUCCCCAACCCACUGGGCGAGGCCAGGGAUCGAACCCAAAUCCUCAUGGGUCCUAGUUGGAUUUGUUUCUGCUGAGCCACAACAGAACUCCCUAAAUAAGUUUUUAACCUAGUGAUCUGUUUAUUUAUUGCUCUUUUCAGAUUAGUGUAGCUUAGUUCUUUUAAAAGAUCUAUGUGGAGUUUCCGCUGAGGUGCAGUGGGAUCAGCAGUAUCUCUGGAGUGCUGGGACACAGGUUCAAUCCCCAGCCUGGCACAGUGGGUUAAGGAUCUGGCAUUGCCUCAGCUGACAUAUGUUAUGGGGCAGCCAAAAAAGAGAGAAAAAAAAAAAUGAGAUCUCAGUAAGGCCUGAAAUCAUAUUCUGGUCUGAUCAUUCCAAUAGUUAUCAAAAUUCAGUUCCUGGGUCAGCAAUUUUGGUGGUGUGGGAUGAAGGAGAAUAUUUUUAAUAACAUCCAAAUUCCUACAUUUUAGCCCUG
rnacentral:lncRNA from 1 species